UACGAAGGGUGCAAACGUUGCUCGGAAUUAUUGGGCGUAAAGCGCACGUAGGCGGCUUUGCAAGUCGGAUGUGAAAUCCCUCGGCUUAACCAAGGAAGUGCAUCCGAAACUGCAGAGCUUGAGUACUUAAGAGGAUCGCGGAAUUCCCGGUGUAGAGGUGAAAUUCGUAGAUAUCGAGAGGAACACCGGUGGCGAAGGCGGCCUGCUGGACAUUAACUGACGCUGAGGCGCGAAAGCGUGGGGAGCAAACAGG
rnacentral:rRNA from 1 species